rnacentral:lncRNA from 1 species
AUGGGUUGUGUCAGCUCUACAAUCCAGACCUUCAGUACGCCUCCACAGCUCAGUACGUCCUGUGCCUGCUCCCCGCACUUGCCCGGAGGUGCGUGUCCCCAGCCCAGUACCAGUGCCAACACACGCACCAGGCUUCCUGUGCGUCUCCAGAGCCCUGUACACCCUGUUCCUCCUUCCCGCACUCGCCCUGAGGUGCGUGUCCUCAGCCCGGUACCACCAGUGCCGGUACCACGCACCAGACCUCCAUUGCGUCUCCAGGGUCCAGUACUCCCUGUUCCUGCUCCUCGCACUCGCCCUGAGGUGCGUGUCCCCAGCCCGGUAUCACCAGUGCCGGCACCACGCACCAGGCCUAUAGUGCGCCUCGGCAGUCCAGUAAGCCCUGUUCCUCCUCCCUGCACUCUCCAUGAGGUGCGUGUCCCCAGCCCGGUAACACCAGUGCCGGCACCACGCACCAGGGCUACAGUGCACCUCGCCAGUUCAGAGCGUCCGGCGACAGUACCCAGUCCAGAGCGUCCAGGCGACAGUACCCAGUCCAGAGCGCGCUCCAGGCGACAGUACCGAGUUCAGAGCGUCCGGCGACAGUACCCAGUCCAGAGCGUCCAGGCGACAGUACCCAGUCCAGAGCGUCCGGCGACAGUACCCAGUCCAGAGCGUCCGGCAACAGUACACACAGCCCAGAGCGUCCGGCGACAGUCUACAGACCGGAACCUCCUACGACGGGCCACAGACCGAACCUCCUACGACGGGUCACAGUCCGGAACCUACCACGAUGGGUCACAGUCCGGAACCUACCACGACGGGUCACAGUCCAGACCCUACGACGACGGGUCACAGUCCGGAUCCGCCAGUCUCCCUCCAGUCCGGAUCUGCCAGAGUCUCCCUCCAGUCCGGAUCUGCCAAGUCUCCCUCCAGUCCGGAUCUGCCAGAAUCUCCUCCAAUCCAGAGGCGCCACUCACUCCAGACUCGACCAUCAGUCCAGUGGCAUCCUCUAGUCCGUGGUCGGCGGUGAGGGUUCCUGCUCCAGAGACAUUAAGUAAGUGUGCCGAGCCAGAACCGCACCUCGGAGUUAUGCCCACCCAGACCCUCCCAUAUAGGCUUAGGUGUGCGGCCGGGAGUCCGCCCCUUUGGGGGGGGGGGGGUACUAACUAUCACGCCCUGACCUUAGUAUUCUUUGUUUUCUUUAAUAUUUUGGUUAGGUCAGGGUGUGACAUGGGUGAUGUAUGUGUUUUUGUUCCUGUCUAUGGGUUUUGUAUGUUGCCUGUGUCUGCACUUGUUUAUAUAUAG